UACGGACGCACGACACGGGAUCUUUCCAAUGAUCGAGUCGUCAGAUCAACGCUCCGUAUUAUGCAGGCUUACGAAUCUAAGGCUCUUUGUUACGAAGAACAAGUGCCAGAGUAUUGCUUGCAUCCUGACGGUACAUAGCAGAAAAGGCACGUCUACAUACGAUGUCAGCAGCCUCGGUUAAAUACGUAGGUGGUGCAUGCGUAGUCAGGCAAAUAUUCGGGCGUAAAUGGCUCGCAGGGCGGUUUCUUAAGUCUGAAUUUGAAUGCUCCCCGGCUUAACCCGGCGAGGGGUCAGUUGGGAAACUGGGGAAACUUGCAGUGCAUGAAGAGGAGAGUGGAAUUCCACGUGUAGCGGUGAAAUGCGUAGAGAUGUGGAGGAACACCAGUGGCGAAGGCGACUCUCUGGUCUGUAACUGACGCUGAGGAGCGAACAGCGUGGGGAGCGAACAGGAUUAGAUAGCCUGGUAGUACACGCCGUAAACGAUGAGUGCUAAGUGUUAGGGGGGUUUUCGCCCCUUAGUGCUGCAGCUAACGCAUUAAGCACUCCGCCUGGGGAGUACGGUCGCAAGACUGAAACUCAAAGGAAUUGACGGGGGCCCGCACAAGCGGUGGAGCAUGUGGUUUAAUUCGAAGCAACGCGAAGAACCUUACCAGGUCUUGACAUCCUCUGACAACCCUAGAGAUAGGGCUUUCCCUUCGGGGACAGAGUGACAGGUGAUAAAAUGGUUGUCGUCAGCUCGUGUCGUGAGAUGUUGGGUUAAGUCCCGCAACGAGCGCAACCCUUGAUCUUAGUUGCCAGCAUUCAGUUGGGCACUUUAAGGUGACUGCCGGUGACAAACCGGAGGAAGGUGGGGAUGACGUCAAAUCAUCAUGCCCCUUAUGACCUGGGCUACACACGUGCUACAAUGGACAGAACAAAGGGCUGCGAGACCGCAAGGUUUAGCCAAUCCCACAAAUCUGUGACACAGUUCGGAUCGCAGUCUGCAACUCGCCUGCGUGAAGCUGGAAUCGCUAGUAAUCGCGGAUCAGCAUGCCGCUUUGAAUACGUUCCCGGGCCUUUACACACCGCCCGUCUCUCCUCGAGAGUUUGCAACACCCGAAGUCGGUGAGGUAACCUUUAUCGAGCCACCCGCCGAAACGUUGCUCCCUACCCCCAC
rnacentral:rRNA from 1 species